GGCUCAGGAUGAACGCUGGCGGCGUGCCUAAUACAUGCAAGUCGAGCGAAUGGAUUAAGAGCUUGCUCUUAUGAAGUUAGCGGCGGACGGGUGAGUAACACGUGGGUAACCUGCCCAUAAGACUGGGAUAACUCCGGGAAACCGGGGCUAAUACCGGAUAACAUUUUGCACCGCAUGGUGCGAAAUUCAAAGGCGGCUUCGGCUGUCACUUAUGGAUGGACCCGCGUCGCAUUAGCUAGUUGGUGAGGUAACGGCUCACCAAGGCAACGAUGCGUAGCCGACCUGAGAGGGUGAUCGGCCACACUGGGACUGAGACACGGCCCAGACUCCUACGGGAGGCAGCAGUAGGGAAUCUUCCGCAAUGGACGAAAGUCUGACGGAGCAACGCCGCGUGAGUGAUGAAGGCUUUCGGGUCGUAAAACUCUGUUGUUAGGGAAGAACAAGUGCUAGUUGANNNAGCUGGCACCUUGACGGUACCUAACCAGAAAGCCACGGCUAACUACGUGCCAG
rnacentral:rRNA from 1 species